rnacentral:rRNA from 1 species
GACGAACGCUGGCGGCGUGCUUAACACAUGCAAGUCGAACGGAAAGGCCCUGCUUUUGUGGGGUGCUCGAGUGGCGAACGGGUGAGUAACACGUGAGUAACCUGCCCUUGACUUUGGGAUAACUUCAGGAAACUGGGGCUAAUACCGGAUAGGAGCUCCUGCUGCAUGGUGGGGGUUGGAAAGUUUCGGCGGUUGGGGAUGGACUAGCGGCUUAUCAGCUUGUUGGUGGGGUAGUGGCUUACCAAGGUUUUGACGGGUAGCAGGCCUGAGAGGGUGACCGGCCACAUUGGGACUGAGAUACGGCCCAGACUCCUACGGUAGGCAGCAGUGGGGAAUAUUGCACAAUGGGCGGAAGCCUGAUGCAGCAACGCCGCGUGCGUGAUGACGUCCUUCGGGUUGUAAACCGCUUUCGCCUGUGACGAAGCGUUAGUGACGGUAAUGGGUAAAGAAGCACCGGCUAACUACGUG